rnacentral:rRNA from 1 species
AGAGCAGUGGUGAUCGGCUUAUUUCAGAAUGCGUCUGGGGGGGAGUAUUCAGCAACCCAUCCGCAAGUGAGAGGUACGCAAGCUGGGCAAUGAUCUACUCAACCCAGCCCCCCAGGAUAGGGCGGUCCAAGUUAAUGUGCCAGCUGACGCGGUUAUACCUAGCGCCCCAGUGUUCGUUAAAAGUAUUCAUAAAAGUAGAGGCCUCCGUGGGCGGGUCAUGUGCAAUUAGCCGUCCUCUGGGGCACCCUUUUUUUUGGGGGAGGAGCGUAAAGCGGAUUAGGUACCCGCCUAACCCACCCCCACGGCCAAUGUGAGGGCGGACUCUUAGAGCGAGAAAAAAAAAUUCACUAGGCAGCUAAUAGGGGGGUGUAUAGGGGAGCCUGCGCGACUAACUUUGAUAGUCCUCGCUUUUAUUGAGCCCUUCGUGAGGUAGUGUAUGCCCGUAGGGAGUUUGUAGUUCGAUAUGUGAUCUCCGUAUGCGCGUCUAGUCGUAUAGUAGUUCAGGUCAACAUGCUCUUUGGGGGGGUCUUCGCGUGGGCUACAAUUCCUUAUGAGAAUGGAUCAGCGUGAGCUGAGAAGAAGGACUUAUUAGUAAAACUAAAGGGAGUGUGUUAAUUUGAAAUAACCCUUCUGGGGCACUUACUGCCCGCCAAAUCAUAACGGGCCCUCUUGGGGGGCCCGUUAUGAUUAAGGCGUAACAUGGUAGCCCAUCUAGAAAGAUGGGCUGGAUAGAAACAA